rnacentral:rRNA from 1 species
UGUUCGCCAAACAACUACGAGUCCUACUUAAAACUUAAAAGACUUGACGGUACUUCAUCACGGCCUAGAGGAGCCUGUCUAAUAACCGACAAUCCACGAUUAACCCCACCCCUUCUUGCCUUCAGUCUAUAUACCGCCGUCGCCAGCUUACCUUGUAAAAGAAAUAAAGUGAGCUAAACAGUACUUACACUAAAACGACAGGUCGAGGUGUAACCCAUGAAGGGGGCCAGGAUGGGCUACAUUCUCCAACCAAGAAUACGGAUAACACUAUGAAAUUAAUGUUUAAAGGCGGAUUUAGCAGUAAGAUAAGAAUAAAACACCUAACUGAACAUAACGCAAUGAAGUGCGUACACACCGCCCGUCACCCCURGUCACCAC